GACGAACGCUGGCGGCGUGCCUAAUACAUGCAAGUGGAACGCUGAAGGAGGAGCUUGCUUCUCCGGAUGAGUUGCGAACGGGUGAGUAACGCGUAGGUAACCUGCCUGGUGGCGGGGGAUAACUAUUGGAAACGAUAGCUAAUACCGCAUAACAGUAGAUAUUGCAUGAUAUCUACUUGAAAGGUGCAAUUGCAUCACUACCAGAUGGACCUGCGUUGUAUUAGCUAGUUGGUGAGGUAACGGCUCACCAAGGCAACGAUACAUAGCCGACCUGAGAGGGUGAUCGGCCACACUGGGACUGAGACACGGCCCAGACUCCUACGGGAGGCAGCAGUAGGGAAUCUUCGGCAAUGGACGGAAGUCUGACCGGGCAACGCCGCGUGAGUGAAGAAGGUUUUCGGAUCGUAAAGCUCUGUUGUAAGAGAAGAACGAGUGUGAGAGUGGAAAGUUCACACUGUGACGGUAUCUUACCAGAAAGGGACGGCUAACUACGUGCCAGCAGCCGCGGUAAUACGUAGGUCCCGAGCGUUGUCCGGAUUUAUUGGGCGUAAAGCGAGCGCAGGCGGUUAGAUAAGUCUGAAGUUAAAGGCUGUGGCUUAACCAUAGUACGCUUUGGAAACUGUUUAACUUGAGUGCAAGAGGGGAGAGUGGAAUUCCAUGUGUAGCGGUGAAAUGCGUAGAUAUAUGGAGGAACACCGGUGGCGAAAGCGGCUCUCUGGCUUGUAACUGACGCUGAGGCUCGAAAGCGUGGGGAGCAAACAGG
rnacentral:rRNA from 1 species